GAAACUUUGACGGGAAUGGUGUCAAUAAAAGUGGCGUCCAAACUAUUUAAGCGACUGUUUUGAGAGGUUGAACGGCACACACCUUUCCGGUAAGCGAUAAUUCAGUCUUUGAGAACCAUGGUCAACCUGCUUCUUGUCCUCAUGCUACUUAUCGCUCUCGCCACUGCGGGACCACUUUUCGGAGGGUUUCGCCCGUAUGGUGGUGGCUGGUGGGGUGGUGGACGCGGCUGUUACGGCUGCUUCCCUUACUCCGAUGACUUCUUCGACUGAAGGGACAUCAUGAUUGGACACUCUAAGAGGCAGGAAAACACAGAUUUACCCAAGAGAUGACAAUCUGAGUGGAAGACAGCAAACAAGAAACAGACUUUUAUUGCGAUAAUAAUAAACAAUGCGAUAACCUCACAUUUACUUGUGAUA